rfam:Oryza nivara chromosome 1, whole genome shotgun sequence.
CCUCCGUCCCCUGGAUUUGCGUGUCCAACUUUGAUUGUCCGUCUUAUAUGAAAUUUUUUUAUAAUUCGUAUUUUUAUUGUUGUUAGAUGAUAAAACAUGAUUAAUACUUUAUGCAUGAUUUGUCUUUUUAAUUUUUUUUAUAAUUUUUUUAAAUAAGACGAACGGUCAAACAUUGGGCACAGAAACCAGGGUUUGUCUUUUU